GACGAACGCUGGCGGCGUGCCUAACACAUGCAAGUCGAACGAGAAUCUUUGAACAGAUCUUUUCGGAGUGACGUUCAAAGAGGAAAGUGGCGGACGGGCGAGUAACGCGUGAGUAACCUGCCCAUAAGAGGGGGAUAAUCCAUGGAAACGUGGACUAAUACCGCAUAUUGUAGUUAAGUUGCAUGACUUGAUUAUGAAAGAUUUAUCGCUUAUGGAUGGACUCGCGUCAGAUUAGAUAGUUGGUGAGGUAACGACUCACCAAGUCAACGAUCUGUAGCCGAACUGAGAGGUUGAUCGGCCGCAUUGGGACUGAGACACGGCCCAGACUCCUACGGGAGGCAGCAGUGGGGAAUAUUGCGCAAUGGGGGCAACCCUGACGCAGCAACGCCGCGUGCAGGAAGAAGGUCUUCGGAUUGUAAACUGUUGUCGCAAGGGAAGAAGACAGUGACGGUACCU
rnacentral:rRNA from 1 species